UAUUGUGAUUCCCAGGAUUGAUGUGCUGCAGUAUUUUGCUCACGUGUCCAUUUUUUUUCAAAAAAAAAUAAAAAAACAGAACGUUCCUCCAUUUGUGAAUUGUAUCACUUCAUAAGAAUUAGCCAUCGUUUUCUUUCUGAUGGAUUUUACAUGUGGUAUAUAUUCAAGAAUUGCCCACCAUCUUCUUCUUUCUUCUGUUUAAUACUCGCCACCAUGCUCUAAAGUAUUCUUAUGCAUAGUUUCUUUGAUUUUUUGUAGGAAGACCCCUUGUAUUCUUAUUAUAACCGGCUACAUUAUGAAUUGACUCCAGUUGAGGUUCAUUCUGAGGAAUCUGCAAUGAUUGCCAUGUAUUUGCAGAAUAAACAUGCAGCAACACGUUCACAGUAUCCUGCUGAUAUUGAUAAAAUAUUCAGGGUCUCAAGAGAGGGUGAAAAUGAACGUAACAGAGCGUUUUCUAUUUAGAUAAGUCGUUGCUAUCUGUAAGGCUAGUCAAAUUUACAAUUAAAACUUCUAUGAUCCCUGUUCCGACUGCAUUUAUUUCUUUAGAAUAAUUGAAUUCUCUCAUAAAACUGUUGGAUCAUGUACUUUUAGGUUGAUCUUGGAGACAUGGCUGAGCUAUUAUAUGCAAAAAAAUGACGUUGAUAAGUUACCACGGGGGAAGCUAAGGUCUGGUCUGCUUUUGAAAGUUUUCUUCAGGCUCAUCUGGUUGCUCCAAUGAGCCUGAAUUUGAAGAUCAUGCUUUUUACUCUUCAAGAUCUGCCAGCAUGAAUUUGAAGUUGCAGUUUGUAUGAUAGCACGUGAAGAGACAUUGCCAUUUAUAAUUUGCAUCAUUCUCGUCCUUUUACAGCAGAGUUCUAUUGCAAUCAACUAGAGCAUGGCUGGUGAUAUUGUUUUCUUCCCAAAUGCAAGGUUAAUACAGUCUCAAUCUAAUUAUUGCAGCACGAAAGGAGUUGGUGGAACUGCUCCAAAUCUUUCAGAUGCCAAGACACUUGAUGAUGGUGCUGUUGUUCCCCUUGGGAAGCCCGAAGAGCAACAAGGCUCAAAGGUUGAACAAACAAAGUAUGACUCUGUGCAUUCGAAGAACUCACUGACUCUGCACAUGUCAACUCAUAUGACUGCUAAUAACCUCUAUGAUAUUGUAUCACCGUGCGCUAUUUUCAUAAUUUAUUGUUGAAAUGUGAUUUGAAUCCUUUUUGCAGAGUGAUUUGCGGUGCAAUCAGUAACAUAGUCUACAACGUGGAUCAGAUUCGGAUGCGAUAAGAGGUCCAAGUGAAUUUAAAAUUCGAUCAUUUGAUUACAUUAUUGCAGGAUAAAAAAUACAGAAACAACUUGAACUAAGAAGAGUCAACAUGGUGGAUGCUUUAAUAAUAAAAUAAUCAUAUGUCAAAUAAAAUAUUUAUAUUAACAUAAAACAAAAUCUAACAUGAUUAAAAAUACAAGAUAAUGAUUUUAUAAAUCCAAUUUAUAUAUAUAUAUUAAGAUCUAAAGCACUUGGGUCAAUAUCCCAUAGCCACAAAUUCUACUGACCACACCAAAUACAAGCCUGAAGUAGUACGUAGGUCUAUCGGAAGUGGCAAGUCCUAUCUGAAACUGUAGAGCUCCCAGAAACAAGGGCAUCAUGUCUUGCCAGAACUUUCUGUAGCUGCUCAUUCAAUCCAAUAUCUCGAGAGACCAACUUUGGACACCAGAGAGAGAUAGAGAAUCAAUUCAAGUUCCUAAUAUACAAAAUAAUUUAUAAAUUAAAAUGAGAUCUUUCCAUGUUCA